UGGAAAAGAGGCCUGCAAUCUGCAGAACACAAGGCUAUUUGAUUUAUCUGAGGAAAAAAAAAUUUCAGAGUAAUUAAAUCCUAUAUAUUUAAUUUGAUUUAGAUUAUACUUUUGUGUGUGUGUGUGUGUGUGUGUGUGUGUAUGUAUGUAUGUGAGUGGGCAUUGAGCCCAGGGGUGUUCCAC
rnacentral:sRNA from 1 species